rnacentral:rRNA from 1 species
GUCUACCACUGUACCACUCUGAAUGCGGCCAAUAUUGUCUGAUCUUGGAAGCUGAGCAGGGUCAGGCCUACUUAGUGUUUGGAUGGGAGAAA